rnacentral:rRNA from 1 species
AGGAACGGAGGGGCGAACAGCUCAGUAACACGUGGCUAAUCUGCCCUCGCGUGGGGAACAACCUCGGGAAACUGAGGCUAAUGCCCCAUACGGGUGGUAGUCUGGAAGGACUCCUCCUCGAAAGCUCUUGCGCGCGAGGAUGAGGCCGCGGCCGAUUAGGUAGUAGGUAGUGUAACGGACCACCUAGCCUUCGAUCGGUACGGGCCGUGGGAGCGGGAGCCCGGAGACGGGUACUUAGACAAGGACCUGGGCCCUAAGGGGCGCAGUAUUCGCGAAAACUCCCCAAUGCGCGAAAGCGUGAGGGGGGAACCCCAAGUGCCACCACAAAGUGUUGGCUUUUCUGGAGUGCAAAAAGCUCCAUGAAUAAGGGCUGGGUAAGACCGGUGCCAGCCGCCGCGGUAACACCGGCAGCCCGAGUGAUGUCCGCAAUUAUUGGGCUUAAAGCGUUCGUAGCCGGCCUGCUAAGUCCCCGGUCAAAUCUGACGGCUCAACCGUCGGCUAUCUGGGGAUACUGGCAGGCUUGAGGCCGGGAGAGGUCAUAGGUACUCCUGGGGUAGGGGUACAAUCCGAUCAUCCUGGGGGGACC